rnacentral:rRNA from 1 species
CGGUGAAUACGUUCCCGGACCUUGUACACACCGCCCGUCAAGCCAUGGAAGCUGGGUGUACCUAAAGUCGGUAACCGCAAGGAGCCGCCUAGGGUAAAACAGUAACUGGGCU